rnacentral:rRNA from 1 species
GCACGAAGUUAGCCGCGUGCUUUCUAAAGUGGUACCGUCAUAUCUGAUUUGUAUUAGAAAUCAGACUUUCUUCCCACUCAACAGAAGUUUACAAUCCGAAGACCUUCAUCCUUCACGCGGCGUCGCUGCGUCAGGCUUUCGCCCAUUGCGCAAUAUUCCUCA